rnacentral:rRNA from 1 species
CUCUGAAGAGAGAGUCAAAGACCGUGAAACCGCUCAGAGUAUAAGCCAAUGGAGCUUGGAAGGCUUCCACAGGUGGGGUUCACCUUCGUGGUGUUCAGAAGACCUUGAGUCUCGCUCGUCAGGCGAAGCAUUUGAGUAUGCCGAUCAGUUGACGUUCAGGGGGCGGUCUGGAAGUUUCAGGCUUCGGUCGUGGGCUUCCGGCUGACCCCCAUUGAAUGGGCGUUCAGAGCUCUUGGUCUAUUGUGGUUAUGCCCACCACAGCACGUUGUGAGGUCACCCACAGGCUCAAACUGCCGAUUGCGCAUCCAGGACGAUGGCAACGAUGCGUUGUGCAUGCUUGAAGCGAGUCUUCAUUCACACGCGUGUCUAGUCCUGGGUCGGGCGGCGACCGAGAUAAACCUGGUACGAUCCUCUUGCGACGAGCUGCUUUCUGGCCAGACCGACGUCCAGGCGCUUCCACUGUGCCGGAAGCGUCAAUCCCAGGCGGUCUGAACCCAGCUGCAUUAUGCAAGGUCUCUCAGCCGGGCGUUGGUCUGAGUGGUGUUAAGUCCAGCACCAUCGGUCACGUCUCGAAACACGGGCCAAGGAGUAUAGCAUGUGUGCAAGUCUAAGGGUCUCACAAAACCCGAAGGCGAAGUGAAAGCAAGACUGUGGCGGGGGAGCUACGGCGAACCCGCCGGCCUGGUGGCGCAAAUUUAUUUGAGUCACCGGCUUAAACAGAGCUGAUCCUGAUUUCUCAAUUGAUUCUUGGUGCAGGCGCAAGCUCCGGGCUCACGUAUAACACUGGUCACUUGUGGCUGUGUUGUGAGCACCGUGGAGCAUGC